AUUGAACGCUGGCGGCAGGCCUAACACAUGCAAGUCGCGCGAGCGGCGGACGGGUGAGUAAUGGCUGGGAAACUGCCUGACGGAGGGGGAUAACUACUGGAAACGGUAGCUACUACCGCAUACCAUCAGAUGUGCCAAGAUGGGAUUAGAUAGUAGGUGGGGUAAUGGCUCACCUAGGCGACGAUCCCUAGCUGGUCUGAGAGGAUGACCAGCCACACUGGAACUGAGACACGGCCCAGACUCCUACGGGAGGCAGCAGUGGGGAAUAUUGCACAAUGGGCGCAAGCCUGAUGCAGCCAUGCCGCGUGUGUGAAGAAGGCCUUCGGGUUGUAAAGCACUUUCAGCGAGGAGGCGUUACUCGCAGAAGAAGCACCGGCUAACUCCGUGCCAGCCGCCGCGGUAAUAC
rnacentral:rRNA from 1 species